AUUGAACGCUGGCGGCAUGCCUAACACAUGCAAGUCGCACGAGUGGCGGACGUGUGAGUAAUGUCUGGGAAACUGCCUGAUGGAGGGGGAUAACUACUGGAAACGGUAGCUCAUACCGCAUACCAUCAAAUUUGCCCAGAUGGGAUUAGCUAGUUGUUGGGGUAACGGUUCACCAAGGCGACGAUCCCUAGCUGGUCUGAGAGGAUGACCAGCCACACUGGAACUGAGACACGGUCCAGAGUCCUAGGGGAGGCAGCAGUGGGGAAUAUUGCACAAUGGGCGAAAGCAUGAUGCAGCCAUGCCGCGUGUAUGAAGAAGGCCUUCGGGUUGUAAAGUACGUGCAGCGGGGAGGCGUUACCCGCAGAAGAAGCACCGGCUAACUCCGUGCCAGCAGCCGCGGUAAUUC
rnacentral:rRNA from 1 species